AGCUGGUCCAAGUGCAGUGGUGUCUACAGCCAGUUACAGAGUUCUUUGUUCCUUCUCUACUCCCACUGCUUUACUUGACUAGCCUGAA
ensembl:misc_RNA Y_RNA Y RNA